GAUGAACGCUGGCGGCGUGCCUAAUACAUGCAAGUCGAGCGAACAGACGAGGAGCUUGCUCCUCUGACGUUAGCGGCGGACGGGUGAGUAACACGUGGAUAACCUACCUAUAAGACUGGGAUAACUUCGGGAAACCGGCGCUAAUACCUGAUAAUAUAUUGAACCGCAUGGUUCAAUAGUGAAAGACGGUUUUGCUGUCACUUAUAGAUUGAUCCGCGCCGCAUUAGCUAGUUGGUAAGGUAACGGCUUACCAAGGCAACGAUGCGUAGCCGACCUGAGAGGGUGAUCGGCCACACUGGAACUGAGACACGGUCCAGACUCCUACGGGAGGCAGCAGUAGGGAAUCUUCCGCAAUGGGCGAAAGCCUGACGGAGCAACGCCGCGUGAGUGAUGAAGGUCUUCGGAUCGUAAAACUCUGUUAUUAGGGAAGAACAAAUGUGUAAGUAACUAUGCACGUCUUGACGGUACCUAAUCAGAAAGCCACGGCUAACUACGUG
rnacentral:rRNA from 1 species